rnacentral:rRNA from 1 species
AUAUUGCACAAUGGGGGAAACCCUGAUGCAGCCAUGCCGCGUGUGUGAAGAAGGCCUUCGGGUUGUAAAGCACUUUCAGUAGGGAGGAAAGGUAGCAGCUUAAUACGCUGUUGCUGUGACGUUACCUACAGAAGAAGGACCGGCUAACUCCGUGCCAGCAGCCGCGGUAAUACGGAGGGUCCGAGCGUUAAUCGGAAUUACUGGGCGUAAAGCGUGCGCAGGCGGUUUGUUAAGCGAGAUGUGAAAGCCCCGGGCUCAACCUGGGAAUUGCAUUUCGAACUGGCGAACUAGAGUCUUGUAGAGGGGGGUAGAAUUCCAGGUGUAGCGGUGAAAUGCGUAGAGAUCUGGAGGAAUACCGGUGGCGAAGGCGGCCCCCUGGACAAAGACUGACGCUCAGGCACGAAAGCGUGGGGAGCAAACAGGAUUAGAUACCCUGGUAGUCCACGCCGUAAACGAUGUCUACUCGGAGUUUGGUGUCUUGAACACUGGGCUCUCAAGCUAACGCAUUAAGUAGACCGCCUGGGGAGUACGGCCGCAAGGUUAAAACUCAAAUGAAUUGACGGGGGCCCCCC